GAAACUUGAUGCUAAUACUCUUUGAAAAUUAGCUUUAUUCGACUGAAAUGAGAAAUCUGUUUGAAUAUUGGGUGCUUGGAAGAAACGCAGCUGGUGAUACGGCCAAAAUAAUUAUAUCUCUAAUAUUCACUGUUAUCUGCGUAUUCAAUUUAUCACACGGACAAAGAUCAUAGCCACUUUUAAGCAACUGAGCAACUUUCUCACUCUCUUGUGAUUUCAGGCAGUAAUAUUAAAUUUUAACACUAUCGAAAAUAAGACAUUAAACCGAGUGUUC
rnacentral:lncRNA from 1 species